GUGUCAGCAGCCGCGGUAAUACGAAGGGGGCUAGCGUUGUUCGGAAUUACUGGGCGUAAAGGGCGCGUAGGCGGCUUCGCUAGUCGGGCGUGAAAUGCCUGGGCUUAACCCGGGAAUUGCGCUCGAUACUUCGAGGCUAGAGUGUGGGAGAGGAUAGUGGAAUUCCCAGUGUAGAGGUGAAAUUCGUAGAUAUUGGGAAGAACACCGGUGGCGAAGGCGGCUAUCUGGACCACAACUGACGCUGAGGCGCGAAAGCGUGGGGAGCAAACAGGAUUAGAUACCCUGGUAGUCC
rnacentral:rRNA from 1 species